rnacentral:rRNA from 1 species
UGGGGAAUUUUGGACAAUGGGCGAAAGCCUGAUCCAGCAAUGCCGCGUGUGUGAAGAAGGCCUUCGGGUUGUAAAGCACUUUUGUCCGGAAAGAAAUCCUUGGCUCUAAUACAGUCGGGGGAUGACGGUACCGGAAGAAUAAGCACCGGCUAACUACGUGCCAGCAGCCGCGGUAAUACGUAGGGUGCAAGCGUUAAUCGGAAUUACUGGGCGUAAAGCGUGCGCAGGCGGUUUGCUAAGACCGAUGUGAAAUCCCCGGGCUCAACUGGGAACUGCAUUGGUGACUGGCAGGCUAGAGUAUGGCAGAGGGGGGUAGAAUUCCACGUGUAGCAGUGAAAUGCGUAGAGAUGUGGAGGAAUACCGAUGGCGAAGGCAGCCCCCUGGGCCAAUACUGACGCUCAUGCACGAAAGCGUGGGGAGCAAACAGGAUUAGAUACCCUGGUAGUCCACGCCCUAAAACGAUGUCAACUAGUUGUUGGGGAUUCAUUUCCUUAGUAACGUAGCUAACGCGUGAAGUUGACCGCCUGGGGAGUACGGUCGCAAGAUUAAAACUCAAAGGAAUUGACGGGGUCAUAGCUG